UACGUAGGGUGCGAGCGUUGUCCGGAAUUAUUGGGCGUAAAGGGCUCGUAGGCGGUCUGUCGCGUCGGCUGUGAAAACUCGGGGCUCAACCCCGAGCCUGCAGUCGAUACGGGCAGACUAGAGUGCUGUAGGGGAGACUGGAAUUCCUGGUGUAGCGGUGAAAUGCGUAGAUAUCAGGAGGAACACCAGUGGCGAAGGCGACCAUCGUGGACGGAAUACUGACGCUGAGACGCGAAAGCGUGGGUAGCAAACAGG
rnacentral:rRNA from 1 species